rnacentral:tRNA from 1 species
GGGCGGUUAGCUCAGUUGGUUAGAGCGUUGGUCUCACAUACCAAAGGUCACUGGUUCAAAUCCAGUACCGCCCA